UACGUAGGGACCAAGCGUUGUCCGGAAUCAUUGGGCGUAAAGAGCGUGUAGGCGGCUUGUUAAGUCUUGCGUGAAAUCUCGGGGCUCAACCCCGAGCGGUCGUGAGAAACUGGCAGGCUAGAGUGCGGGAGAGGAGAGUGGAAUUCCUGGUGUAGCGGUGAAAUGCGCAGAUAUCAGGAAGAACACCGGUGGCGAAGGCGGGUCUCUGGGCAACAACUGACGCUGAGGAGCGAAAGCGUGGGGAGCGAACAGG
rnacentral:rRNA from 1 species